GGCACCCAAAAGGAAGCAACAAGAUCAAACUUCAAAGCCAGGCUCACCUGACCCAGUGACCCCCAAACCUAGUCUCUUUCUUUAUCACACUAUGGAAGAGGACUCCAUUUCCAGCUGAAGAGCUCGGCCUAGUAAUGGCACUCAUGAACACACUUGAAAUGAAAGUGGAUGUAACUGGUUGUCAUUCCUUCUAAUCCUCUGAUGGUGACCACCAAGAUGCCAGUUGCAAGCUAUGAACUGCUACCAGGCCACGGAGUCAGACGAAACAGCAUUGCUAUGGGGGAACUGGAAAGCAAUCCUUACCUGUGGCCCCAGCGCUCCAGGGGUUCCUGGUGGACCCACUUCACCUUUCUUCCCCUGAGUGCAGAAGAGAAGCCAAAGUUAACAGUGAAGCAUCAUCCCACAAAGCCCAAGGAAUAGUCUCUCAGGGAAAUUCUGCCUCGAUCUGCACUUAAAGCUGCGGAGCACUGAGCUUCUUGCUCCUGUUACCACGUCUGCCCUCUGCUGUCAUGCUUUCCCCACCUUGAUGGACUCUCAAUGCUCUGGAGCCACUCCAGCCCAAAUAAACUCUUCUG